UUGUGUAUUGCUGCUAAUCUUUCUCUUUCUAGGUUCUGUUGGUUGCAUGCAGAUUGUGCCAGAUGAUUUAUCUGUCUAUGGUCUAAGCAUGGGCUCUGUGCUAAUAUAUGCAAUUUGUGCUCUUUUUUCCCUCAGGUCAAUCGCAGACAGGGUCCUUCCACAACCACAUACUUAUGCCAGUAAAAGCUACAGCUUUUCUCCUCCGAUCCAAGAAGCCUGGACUGCAGUCACCAUCUCAACACACCAACCAAGAGAAAGGCGGAUGGCUCAAUUCAAUAUGGAAAAUUGCACAAUAAAAGUUCCAGGACAUGAAGGCUGCAUACUGUGAACGUCAACCUUCAGGGCACCGUCCUGCGCAGAAGACUUUCUGCCCCAAGAGGGAUGGCUGACAGCAGACACUCACAACCAGCACAGACGCCUCCAACCCCAGACUAGGCCCUUCACAGUUGCUGCACUUACCCACCUUCCCCAAGUUUUUCUGUGGUAAUGACAACUGUAAAU